rnacentral:rRNA from 1 species
UACGAAGGGGGCUAGCGUUGCUCGGAAUCACUGGGCGUAAAGCGCACGUAGGCGGAUCAUUAAGUCGGGGGGUGAAAUCCUGGAGCUCAACUCCAGAACUGCCUUCGAUACUGAAGAUCUCGAGUCCGGGAGAGGUGAGUGGAACUCCGAGUGUAGAGGUGAAAUUCGUAGAUAUUCGGAAGAACACCAGUGGCGAAGGCGGCUCACUGGCCCGGUACUAACGCUGAGGUGCGAAAGCGUGGGGAGCAAACAGG